UACAGAGGGUGCGAGCGUUAAUCGGAAUUACUGGGCGUAAAGGGCGCGUAGGUGGUUUGUUAAGAUUGAUGUGAAAUCCCUGGGCUUAACCUAGGAACUGCAUCGAUGACUGAUGAGCUAGAGUACUGUAGAGGGUAGUGGAAUUUCCGGUGUAGCGGUGAAAUGCGUAGAGAUCGGAAGGAACACCAGUGGCGAAGGCGGCUACCUGGACAGAUACUGACACUGAGGCGCGAGAGCGUGGGGAGCAAAC
rnacentral:rRNA from 1 species